rnacentral:rRNA from 1 species
CACGUAGGGUCCGAGCGUUGUCCGGAAUUACUGGGCGUAAAGAGCUCGUAGGUGGUUUGUCGCGUUGUUCGUGAAAACUCACAGCUUAACUGUGGGCGUGCGGGCGAUACGGGCAGACUGGAGUACUGCAGGGGAGACUGGAAUUCCUGGUGUAGCGGUGAAAUGCGCAGAUAUCAGGAAGAACACCCGUGGCGAAGGCGGCUCUCUGGGACGGUACUGGACGCUGAGACGCGAAAAGCGUGGGGAGCGAACAGG